UCCCUGGUAGCUCAGAGGUUAAAGCACCUGCCUGCAAUGCAGGAGACCUGGGUUCGAUCCCUGGGUAGGGAA
rnacentral:tRNA from 1 species